rnacentral:rRNA from 1 species
GACGAACCGUGCGAACGUUAUUCGGAUUCACUGGGCUUAAAGGGCGCGUAGGCGGACGAGCAAGUCCGGGGUGAAAUCUUUCGGCUUAACCGGAAAAGUGCCUUGGAUACUGCUCGCCUUGAGUGAGGUAGGGGCAUGUGGAACUUCCGGUGGAGCGGUGAAAUGCGUUGAUAUCGGAAGGAACGUCGGUGGCGAAAGCGACGUGCUGGCCCUCAACUGACGCUGAGGCGCGAAAGCCAGGGGAGCAAACGGG